rnacentral:rRNA from 1 species
GACGGAUGGGGCUAGCGUUGUUCGGAAUUACUGGGCGUAUAGGGCGCGUAGGCGGCCAUUUAAGUUAGACGUGAAAGCCCUGGGCUUAACCCAGGAAUUGCGUUUAAUACUGGAUGGCUAGAGUUUGGUAGAGGAAAGCGGAAUUCCUAGUGUAGAGGUGAAAUUCGUAGAUAUUAGGAAGAACACCAGAGGCGAAGGCGGCUUUCUGGACCAAUACUGACGCUGAGGCGCGAAAGCGUGGGGAGCGAACAGG